GAUGAAGAACGCAGCGAAAUGCGAUAAGUAAUGCGAAUUGCAGAAUUCAGUGAGUCAUCGAAUUUUUGAACGCACAUUGCGCCCUGUGGUAUUCCGCAGGGCAUGCCUGUUCGAGCGUCAUUUCAACCCUCAAGCUCUGCUUGGUGUUGGGCCCUGCCCGCUGCGGCCGGCCCUAAAGACAGUGGCGGUGCCGCCUGGCCCUGAGCGUAGUACAUCUCUCGCUCCAGUGCCCGGUGGUAGCCUGCCAGAACCCCAACUCUCGUGGUUGACCUCGGAUCAGGUAGGGAUACCCGCUGAACUUAAGCAUAUCAUAAGCGGAGGA
rnacentral:misc_RNA from 1 species